rnacentral:rRNA from 1 species
GACGAACGCUGGCGGCGUGCCUAAUACAUGCAAGUCGAGCGGUCCCUUCGGGGAUAGCGGCGGACGGGUGAGUAACACGUAGGUAACCUGCCUCCAAGACCGGGAUAACAUUCGGAAACGAAUGCUAAGACCGGAUACGCAAGUGCCUCGCAUGGGGAGCUUGGGAAACACGGUGCAAGCUGUGGCUUGGAGAUGGGCCUGCGGCGCAUUAGCUAGUUGGUGGGGUAACGGCUCACCAAGGCGACGAUGCGUAGCCGACCUGAGAGGGUGAACGGCCACACUGGGACUGAGACACGGCCCAGACUCCUACGGGAGGCAGCAGUAGGGAAUCUUCCACAAUGGGCGAAAGCCUGAUGGAGCAACGCCGCGUGAGUGAGGAAGGCUUUCGGGUCGUAAAGCUCUGUUGCCAGGGAAGAAUAAGGGUGAAGUAACUACUCAUCCGAUGACGGUACCUGAGAAGAAAGCCCCGGCUAACUACGUGCCAGCAGCCGCAG